rnacentral:rRNA from 1 species
GCUGGCGCUAAGAGCGGAGGGGCUACACCCGUUCCCAUUUCGAAUACGGAAGUUAAGUCCUCCAGCGUUCAUGGUACUGAUCGGGUAACUGAUUGGGAGAGUAGACCAGUGCUGGCU